rnacentral:rRNA from 1 species
CCUACGGGGUGCAGCAGUGAGGAAUAUUGGUCAAUGGACGCAAGUCUGAACCAGCCAUGCCGCGUGCAGGAUGACGGCUCUAUGAGUUGUAAACUGCUUUUGUACGAGGGUAAACCCCGAUACGUGUAUCGGGAUGAAAGUAUCGUACGAAUAAGGAUCGGCUAACUCCGUGCCAGCAGCCGCGGUAAUACGGAGGAUGCGAGCGUUACCCGGAUUUAUUGGGUUUAAAGGGUGCGUAGGCGGUUUGAUGAGUUAGAGGUGAAAUGUCCGGGCUCAACCCCGGAACUGCCUCUGAUACUGUUGAACUAGAGAAUAGUUGAGGUAGGCGGAAUGUAUGGUGUAGCGGUGAAAUGCGUAGAGAU